UACGGGGGGAGCAAGCGUUGUUCGGAUUUACUGGGCGUAAAGGGCGCGUAGGCGGUCAGCACAAGUCAGUUGUGAAAUCUCCGGGCUUAACUCGGAAAGGUCAACUGAUACUGUGCGACUAGAGUGCAGAAGGGGCAACUGGAAUUCUCGGUGUAGCGGUGAAAUGCGUAGAUAUCAGGAGGAACACCGGUGGCGAAGGCGGGACUCUGGGCCGAUACUGACGCUGAGGAGCGAAAGCGUGGGGAGCAAACAGG
rnacentral:rRNA from 1 species